CAGUAAGGAUGUCUUUCAACGUUUACUUUUUAAAAUAAAGUGCAAAAGAAGUAAAACACAGCAGGGACACAUAAUCUUUGGAUGCACAGAAAUAGAAAUUGGAUGAAGAUGACAGUCAUUAUUCUCUGAAUAUUCAAAAUAAUUAAAUGUAAUUAGAAAUACAACUUUUUGAUUAUCACCAUUAUUGAUAUGUUAUAGGAACAUAAUUAUUAUUGAAAAAGACAUAAGUAACUACAUGACAUCUUCCAAAUGCUUCAUGGUGCGAAGGAAUUUUAAGAAAUUAAUAUUAAGAUAUGACUAAGGCAUGGAAAACAAGAUUGUUGUAAAUAACAAACUGCAUUAUUUACACACCGAUUUUUUUUAAAUCCAUCUGAAAUGUUGCUAAAAAUAUUUAGGGACUCUUUCUAGUUUUAGAGAUCUUUAAAUUUUUAUAAUACCUUGUAAAUUAAAAAAAUGGGAAUUUUCUUUGUUAUGCCUUUUUCGAGAUUAACCACACGUAGGAAUAAUAUAAAUAAAAAAUGAAAUCGCUUUUUCUAAUUUUAACAAGCUUUUAUUUUUUUUUCACUUAAAAGAUAAUCCUUAACCAGCUAUGUUGGUAUGUUUAUCUCAAUUUAAAUAAAAGUUAAUUUUUUUACCCUCCAAUCCUCGAUCUCAAACACCAAUCAGAGGUCGGUGACGUCACAACUCAAUAACAAUUUAGUAGUGUGGCCAGUUUUAGUGAAUGUCAGUGCAUUUAGUAUUUAUAAUGUACUUUUUAAUGAAUAUAAUAAUGCUAGAUAAUGAAGACAUCAUUAAUAAAUGUUUUUAUAAAUACGACAUAUGUUACUAGCAAAACUUUCGAUCGAUAUGUCGACGAAAAAUAGAAAGUCCUUUACACUAGCAGCUAAUUCAAUUUGCAUCUGGUCACAUUGAAUCAGCUGUUGGAUACUCUGGUCAAUAAUUUACCCGACGUUUUUACGGUGAAGGAAAACAACUUAUGCCUGCACAUAUCGGCGAAGAAAUGCAAAGAUAUGUGUGAAGUCAACCCACAUUGGGCUAGCGUGGUUGACUGGCCUAGACACACCUUACUUUGGGUAGGCUCCUGGCCCCUUAGUGGAGACGUACAAUGAGCUGUUGUUACCAGCCUGGUGCUGAUGAAGCCAACGGUCAGCCAUGGUUUUAACACUUGAACUUUUAAGGUUUUAACUCUUUUGAUCCUUAAAGUUUUUAUAAACGUAUCUGUAAGUAAAUUUUAAUUUUUAAUAGUUCAGGUUCAUUAUAUUUCAAAUAUUAAAGUGCAGUUUUUGUGUAUAAUGGCGAUUCGACUUUAGUUUUUUUAUUUAGUUAAUACAAAUACCUAAAUGUUUAACACAUAACUUUUUUUGUCUUAUGUUUUCUAACCUAACAAAUUAACAAGAAUUUUUAAUAAGUUAUUUACAUUCUUGAGUUAUUUUCAGUACAAUAAUACCACAUUCAUACAUUUACGUUUUUCGAUUUCCUCUUUGGAGGUCCUCUACCUUGUCUUCUAAAACAGUUAUAUUAUCUUUAAUUAUUUUUAGCUUGUAUUUCCAUCUACGACCUCCUCCAUAAUUUAUAACAUCCAUGGUCAAUAUAGGGCGCGUCAUGUAAAAAGAAUGGAGAAAGCGUUUGCGCAUUGGUAACCUCACGCACGAAAACGAUCGACGUUACGCCUUUAUUUUAUUUAUUAAAUUGUUAACAAACAUUAAAUAGAAUGUCAAUAAAAAAAUAACAACGAAUAUUUGAUUAAUUCUGCAAAAUUUAAUUAAGUACAAACACAGUUAAGUAAAAUUAAGGUACCGUAAUGCUUUCCAUUAAGCCCCUCUUCAUGAAACAGUAUACAAUUAAAUAUGUUUUCUAUCUUGUCAAUGUAAAGCUAUUUCGUAAUAAAACUUUUGCACUCGAUGGUAUUUAGCUACUGAACGUAAUGUCAAACACAGCGCGGGAAACAAAAGUGAAAUGAACCAAUAGCGGCCCGGGACGCGUGACGUCACACUACCUCAUACCACCAAAUAGACCGAUAAAUCGCCUAAUGUGCAGCUUGUGCUUGUCGUUAGCGUUCUUGUUCUUUUUACAUGACGCAAUUGUACUUAUUUCAAAGUGCAUUACUCAACAGAAUUUAUUCCUACUUAAAAAACAAAAGUGAGUGUCCUGUGUGUUCUUUCAAAUUAUUCUCUACAUUUAUACCAAAUGUCAUCGAAAUC